rnacentral:misc_RNA from 1 species
CCGAGUACCGGGUCUCCGGGCCCUUACUCCCACCCUUUGUGUACCUACCGAUUUUUCGUUGCCUCGGCGGGGUCGAUCCCUAGGGCCCCUGGCCCGUGGGGGACCCGCCGGGGGGACACGCCAAAACUCUUGUAAACGGUGACGUCUGAGAAACAUACAAACUAGUCA